rnacentral:lncRNA from 1 species
GGAAGAAGUUUUCAGUCUCAUCUGAGGCAUUGAGCUGCCUGGCUGGAUUCCAACACCAAACUUUGUUUCCCCACCAGCCCAGGUUACACUUGCUGAAAACUGUAACUUUCUAUUUGGAAGCAGGAUAGAAUUUUUACCUGGGAGUGGGACUCUGCCAGCAAUUUUUGACGUGAGAACUGGACGUACCAAACACAUUGCAGGGAAUAAUGCUUCAUUAGUUCUACUACUAACAGGGAUAUUUCAGCAUGCCUGGUCCUACGGAGGAUUCCGGUUAGCUCUAGCAAGCAUGAGGUAUGCUGUUUCUUUGGAAACAUCAAAUCUAAUUAAAACGGUCGUGGAGAUAUAAUGCCCUUGGGUGCCUG